AAGCAUAUUAAUAAGCGGAGGAAAAGAAACUAACUAGGAUUCCCUCAGUAAGGGCGACUGAAGCGGGAAGAGCUCAUGAUGUGAAUCGGUGUUUCGGCACUGAAUUGUGGUCUAUAGAUUCUCACACUACUGGAUGGGUUAAGUCCCUUGGAAAAGGGCGGCAUAGAGGGUGAGACCCCCGUGAACCUAGACUAUGGAGUGAGUUUCAACGAGUCGAGUUGUUUGGGAUUGCAGCUCUAAGUGGGAGGUAAAUUCCUUCUAAAGCUAAAUAUGGGCGAGACACCGAUAGUGUACAAGUACCGUGAGGGAAAGAUGCAAAGAACUUUGAAAAGAGAGUUAAAGAGUACCUGAAAUUGCUGAAAGGGAAGCGAAGGAAACUAGUGAUGGGCUUGUAGCAUUUUUUUGUUGGCUUGCUGGCAAAACGCUGUUACUGUCCGCGCAACACUUUGUUGAGUUGAAUCAAGUACCUCAGUUGUUGUUAACAAUUGGUGGAAAGGUUUGACAUGACUGAGCUGGGGCUAAAUGGUUUUCUUCUCCCCGUCUUGAA
rnacentral:rRNA from 1 species